rnacentral:rRNA from 1 species
AUUGAACGCUGGCGGCAUGCUUUACACAUGCAAGUCGAACGGUAACAGGCCGCAAGGUGCUGACGAGUGGCGAACGGGUGAGUAAUGCAUCGGAACGUGCCCAGUCGUGGGGGAUAACUACUCGAAAGAGUAGCUAAUACCGCAUACGAUCUAUGGAUGAAAGCGGGGGACCGUAAGGCCUCGCGCGAUUGGAGCGGCCGAUGUCAGAUUAGGUAGUUGGUGGGGUAAAGGCUCACCAAGCCAACGAUCUGUAGCUGGUCUGAGAGGACGCCCAGCCACACUGGGACUGAGACACGGCCCAGACUCCUACGGGAGGCAGCAGUGGGGAAUUUUGGACAAUGGGCGCAAGCCUGAUCCAGCAAUGCCGCGUGCAGGAAGAAGGCCUUCGGGUUGUAAACUGCUUUUGUACGGAACGAAACGGCUCUGGUUAAUACCCGGGGCUAAUGACGGUACCGUAAGAAUAAGCACCGGCUAACUACGUG